rnacentral:rRNA from 1 species
UACGUAGGGGGCUAGCGUUGUCCGGAAUCAUUGGGCGUAAAGCGCGUGUAGGCGGUUCGGUAAGUCCGCUGUGAAAGUCGGGGGCUCAACCCUCGGAUGCCGGUGGAUACUGUCGAGCUUGAGUACGGAAGAGGCGAGUGGAAUUCCUGGUGUAGCGGUGAAAUGCGCAGAUAUCAGGAGGAACACCAGUGGCGAAGGCGGCUACCUGGACCGGUUCUGACGCUGAGGCGCGAAAGCGUGGGUAGCAAACAGG